rnacentral:lncRNA from 1 species
AGGCCAGUGGCACACCCUCCAGUCGGAUCAGAGGGUUGGAGAUAAACCCAACCUCAGUCUCCCCAGAUGUCAAAGGAGGACAAUGAUCUCUACAGAGAGGGGCUAACUGCACCGGGGUGAGCUUGGCGUCGUGGCUGGCAGGGAACGGAGGCUCCCUUCCUUCACCUCCCAGCCUCCAAAGAAAAGGUUCAGUUGAGGCCUCCUUGGGGGUGGGUGCGGGUCCUUGGGCCAUCUCUAGGGGGCGCUGACAGUCAGCCAGCACGUGCCUGCACCUGUCCCUAGUUAAAUGAGCAAAAGACAGCUGAAAAAAAGAACCCAGGCAGGCCUUGGGGCAGGGCAGAGGGUCUUGAGGCUAAGUGUGAAUGGGGGAUGGAAGUUCAGUGGGGCGUGACUGGAGGGUUUGUCUGGGGCAUGUGUGACUUCUGUCACCCACUGGCCUAAGAAAGAGCACCAAAGGCCCUUCUGUGAAUAAACUCUCAGGCUAACGCAGGCUGGGCUUCAUGGAAGGGAUGGAAGGGAAGGUAGUCCUUGGAUGUUUGGUUGAGGCCCCACUCCUCCUGGGAUGGUGGAAGGAGGGCAAUGAGGCAUCAAUGGGGUUUCCUUCUUUCCCUCUCCUUUGCGAGCCUCACCAAGGCAGGCCUGCCACCUGGAGCCCCUCAAGGAGAUGAGAAUCCACAGUCCCCGUGCCAGGAGGUGGCAGCAGGCAGAGUGAUGGGCCCUGGAGGGAGGGCUCACUUGGGGCACUCUCGCCUUUUAAAGGCGGCUGCUUUCUCCUGGGAUUACCCCCAUGAUUUGGGGUCCCUGGGGGCAAUGCCAUGGCCUCCAUGCAACCAGGCCUCCUGAGUGGCUGCAUUGCUGGCAGGGAGGUAGCUCUAAGGUCAAUUCUGAACCUGCCUCCCUCCAGCACUGCCCAUCCAUAAAGGGCAUCUGUGCCCAGGCAACACCCACCCACCUGGGGCUUGGGGAGCCGGGGCUGCUGCAAACACAGUGCCGCAGUGAAAGUGGGACAAACGCGCCUGUGUGCAUCCUGGCCGAGGUGCCGGAGGAAGCGUGGUCGGGGCAGAAGUGUUAAUGGGCCUCCUUCCUGCCGUGCCCUGCCCGUGCCAGCUCCUCGGUGCUCAUCCCGGCUCCCUGAAAUGCUCGCUUCCACUCAGGGCCAGCGCACUCCCUCCACGUCCCUGGCCGCAGAUCUGUCCUGCUUUGACAAAUAACCCGCUCAGCCUUCGGGUUUAUGGUUUUUCCGUGCGCCUUCCUUCAUGUGGUUGGGAACCAAGCUCUGGUCUCCAGAGCUGUGUGGGGCUGGGAAUGGCGCCUGGACCUGCAGGGCUCCCCAAGCAACAGUGCAGGGGGACUGGAAUCCUGCUCUCAGGGAGACAGGGCCCAUCAGGGAACCACGUAGGAGGGCCAGCGCCGCAUGCUAAAGGGGCAUAGGCAAGGGAAGGGGUCUGCAGGGACAGUCUGCAGGAGCCAGGAGGGCUUCCUGAAGGAGGCUGAGCUUGAAGGAUGGAGGGGCCAAAGGAGACCAUUCCAAAAGCAGACAGCACCAGCCCACAGGAUGGUGAGCAGCAACUGCAAGAAGAGAAGCUUGGGCACUCGUGGGUUUGUUUUUAUUUUUGCUUUUAAAUGUAAUAUUUGGGCCGGCUGUGGUGGCUCAUGCCUGUAAUCCCAGCACUUUGGGAGGCCGAGGCGGGUGGAUCACCUGAGGUCAGAGUUUGAGACCACCCUGACCAACAUGGAGAAACCCCGUCUCUACUAAAAAAUAUAUAUAUAUAUUAGCCAGGCCCCAACUACUCGGGAGGCUGAGGCAGGAGAAUCGCUUGAAUCCAGGAGGCGGAGGUUGCAGUGAGCUGAGAUCGCACCAUCGUACUCCAGCCUGGGCAGCAAAAGUAAAACUCCAUCUCAAAAAAAAAAAAAAAAAAAGUAAUAUUUGUUAAGCAACAACUGUGCCCUGUGCUAAGUAAGUCUCAUGAGUUCAUUAUCUCAUUAAUUUUCACAAAAACUCGCAAGUACUGUCAACCUCAUUUUAUAGGUGACAAUCCUGGGGCCCAGGAGAUAAAGUAGCAUGCCUUGGGGGAGAGCUGGUUAGUGGCAGAACAAGGAUGGAAGCCCUGGCAGGCAUCCAAGGCAGGAUCCACAUGUUAAAGAGAAACCACUACACUGCACAUUCUGGUCAGUCACUGUUGGACUUUUGCAUUUGAGCCAGGGCUACCCAUCUGGUGUCCCUGAGUCCCUGGGUCUGCCCCAGGAGGGCCAAGGAGGAAUCAACUAAUUCCAGGGCUAUCUGUCCCCUCAAAGACACAAAUUUGCACAUGCUGGGAGCCUCAAGCCCCUUAGGAAUCAGCAUCAUCCACAAGCUGAUGCCUCCCACAUAAGGGAACACAUUUUCUUUUUUUCUUUUUUUGAGUCAGAGUCUCACUCUGUUGCUCAGGCUGGAGUACAGUGGCUCAGUCUCG